CGUUGUUACUUCUAAAACACAUCUCGUUCUCCCCGCCAAAUAAAUACGAGAGUUUUUUCCUCUAUACAUUCUCAGACUCUCCUUCCCCCGCGCGCUCUGGUUCUCUUUUUGAGGAGGAGCUAAUAGAGACGAUGAUGUAUAUAAAAGGAGACGAACAAAAGGGAAAAAUGAAGAAGAAGUUAGUUGGCGCCAGCUGUUGAUGUCUGUCUCUGUACCUCGCACGCCGCCGCCGCCUCUGCCGCGACGACGCGCUCUUUCGCUCAGACGACGCCCUCAGCUACGCAUCCUCGCUCCGCCACGCGCUCCCCAGCCGGCGCCGCCAGCUGAGGUAGCCGGCGGCGUACCGGCGGCAGCUGCUCCGGCACGCGGGGCGGGUCCGCUCCUGCACCUCGCGCAUGUCACGGGUGCUGUUGCAGCGGUCCUCGGAGGCGCGGCACCUCCGGCAGCACGCCGUGGAGCUGCGGCACGCGCUCCGUCUCAGUCACUAUAACCUUUCACGCUCGUUCCCAGAAUGACCGAUAGAGCUGUGCCAACUAUUUAAUUUUUCACGACUCCUGAAGAAGUGAAGUUUAUCUUAGCCAUUUCGGCCACUGCUGCGCGAGUUUGCACAGCUACUUAACGAAGUGUUCCGUCGACGACUCAACCUCUUACUUAAGUCAUCCCACGAUAGUCUUACGUCGUUUGGCCAUCUCGAACUCGUUGAAGAGUUUACAGAAGGUUCGGCAAGUAGUCGCUUUCUAAGACGACUUUCAGUCGGUUUAGGCCCACGGCACGAGAGAGAAGGAUGCGAGUAACUCGGUGCGAUGCACGGAGCCGAGAGUUUCAAUCGAGUCUUUAGUGAGGUUGAACCAACGGUAUUUGUCAAACACUUUUAUAUGUCUCUAUGAGCGUCAAGUUGAAACCUUGACUGGGAAUUCGUCAACCCUCAACUUAUACAAUGCCGUCUUCUUCAUGUCUGACGCGUCCGACUCUCGGCCUUGCGAUUUUAAUGAGUGACCUAGGCUACAAACGUCUAACGCCAUUUUAACGAAAAAGGAUCACUUGCGCGUGACACACUAGUUUAAAAACUUCCCUUCGUACGUACCUUUCUGGUAACGAAACGACGUCGUUGUAGGUUUUCGGAGAACUUAGAUGAGUCGAAGCCUGUUCGAUAAAGAUUUAGAUUCUGUAGUGGUCUGUUUCAUAAAAACGACGAUCUAUACAAACUGGCUUGUAACCUUGAAGUUAGACUCCAACUCCGUCAGAAACGUCCUCUACUUACGCGACUUUUGGCCUUUAGACGUUCAUGAAACCAGUUUACAAAUCGUGUUCGUCGUUUUUUCUGAGAGUAACUGAAGUUUCUGUCGUAACACUUCCUCAGCGGAUUCUUAUGCUCAUGACUACCUCUACACGUAGGAGAAUGGUCGAUACAACCUUUGAUAUAGUUUAUAGAAUACCUGAUAGACAGUAGUGAUUUCGACUAGAAAGUUCUUAGGUCGUUACCUCUGCCUUGUUUCAGACCAGACCAGAGACUUUAGAGACCGUAAUAUGUACGGCAUCUCUGGUUGGAUCUACAUUUUCGUUUCGUUAUGUUCCUAGUACGGGACCCUUAAGACAAGAAUUACUUAUUGUAGUUGAUAUAGCAGUCUAGAUAGGCGUCAAGUCUUCGGUUCCUAAAUCAACCACUACUAACCUAAGUUUCUGCGGCUUCCUGACACGUCGUUGUACGAUGAGUCAUGUUUUCUCAACGAACCCCUUUCCAUAACCUAACAGAGAGUCGAGUUCCAAAUUGAAGUAGUCAUCCAAGACGAUGUCUUCCAUAACGUCCUUCACAACCUUCAUAGCCUAGAGUGUCGUCAUGUUGAAGGUGUAGACACUAGUUCCGCUCUAAGUUCAGAAAGUUGUUCGUUAAACUUCUCCAAACAGUCUGAGUCUACUUGACCCGAUAAGGGCUAUUGCUCAAUGCGCUAUUAGAAUAGGAACGCCAACGACUUUAAGACAAUGGACGAAUAUCUAGAAAGGACUUUGCGAAACCCGGAGAACAGCUCUUGUCGGUAGUACGAAGCUUUAUAUACUUCAUGUGAGGUCUUCGUGAACUUGUUUGUGAACCAUUAGAUAAACGUUUCUUCUAUGGUGUUAUCCACUUGACCCUGUGACUAACGUGAUUUUUCCCGUUGGACCACGUACAUCGAGGGCGAACGCGUCCCAGGUCCCUUCCCAGGCUGG
rnacentral:rRNA from 1 species